CAGAACGUUGAUGAAUAUCAGACAAAUAUCAAACGCUAAACAACUAAUGGAUCAUCUUCAAGUCAUUACAUCGAAAUGGGAGUUUGAAUUCCGCACUCUGCGAUAUGUCGAUAGAACUUUAAUAAAUCUCAGACGAAUAUCAAACGCUGGACCGACUAAUGGAUCAUCUUCGAAAUGGGAGUUUAAAUUCCGCAAAACCACAGCACUCAGUGAUAUGUUGAUAUGAGUCUCGGCUUCUUCAUCUUGUCCCGCUGCCAAAAGCUUUUCCAUGUUGACGCAACUUUCCGCUCCAAGUGAACUUCGUCCUUGGAGCAGAAGCCACUAAUCAGAGCGGAAUGCAGUUGAGAACUUGGCCAAUGGAUUUAGUAUGUAUGCAUGUACCAUACAUAUAUGUAUGGUUCCCAGGAAAGGGUCUGGACUGGAACAAUAGAGCGACCUUCGGCCUCGGAAAACUCACUCAGCACAAUUUCCACUGAACCAUUAUUA